UNGGAAUCACUGGGCGUAAAGGACGCGUAGGCGGAUUAUCAAGUCUCUUGUGAAAUCUAACGGCUUAACCGUUAAACUGCUUGAGAAACUGAUAAUCUAGAGUAAGGGAGAGGCAGAUGGAAUUCUUGGUGUAGGGGUAAAAUCCGUAGAGAUCAAGAAGAAUACCCAUUGCGAAAGCGAUCUGCUGGAACUUAACUGACGCUAAUGCGUGAAAGCGUGGGGAGCAAACAGGAUUAGAUACCCUGGUAGUCCACGCCCUAAACGAUGUAUACUAGUUGUUGCUUCGCUAGUCGAGGCAGUAAUGCACCUAACGGAUUAAGUAUACCGCCUGGGGAGUACGGUCGCAAGAUUAAAACUCAAAGGAAUAGACGGGGACCCGCACAAGCGGUGGAGCAUGUGGUUUAAUUCGAAGAUACGCGAAGAACCUUACCCGGACUUGAUAUCUAACAAAUCAUCCAGAGAUGGAAGAGUGUCUGCUUGCAGAAAUGUUAAGACAGGUGCUGCACGGCUGUCGUCAGCUCGUGUCGUGAGAUGUUGGGUUAAGUCCCGCAACGAGCGCAACCCACGUCAUUAGUUGCUAACGGUUCGGCCGAGCACUCUAAUGAGACUGCCUUCGCAAGGAGGAGGAAGGUGUGGACGACGUCAAGUCAUCAUGGCCCUUAUGUCCGGGGCGACACACGUGCUACAAUGGCGUAUACAAUGAGACGCAAUAUCGCGAGAUGGAGCAAAUCUAUAAAAUACGUCCCAGUUCGGAUUGGAGUCUGCAACUCGACUCCAUGAAGCCGGAAUCGCUAGUAAUCGUAGAUCAGCCAUGCUACGGUGAAUACGUUCCCGGGUCUUGUACUCACCGCCCGUCACACCAUGGGAGUUGGUUUCACUNGAAG
rnacentral:rRNA from 1 species